UACGUAGGGAGCGAGCGUUGUCCGGAUUUAUUGGGCGUAAAGAGCUCGUAGGCGGUUUGGCAAGUCGGAUGUGAAAGCUCCGGGCUCAACUCGGAGAUGCCAUUCGAUACUGCCAUGACUAGAGUCCGGUAGGGGGGUGUGGAAUUCCCAUGUAGCGGUGAAAUGCGCAGAUAUUGGGAGGAACACCAAUGGCGAAGGCAGCACCCUGGGCCGGUACUGACGCUGAGGAGCGAAAGCGUGGGGAGCAAACAGG
rnacentral:rRNA from 1 species